AGCGCCGGAAGCCUACUGGUUAGAGCUUCCGCCUCAGAUGCGAUAGGUCGUGGGUUCGAUCCCCGUUCGAGUCA